rnacentral:rRNA from 1 species
UACAGAGGGGGCAAGCGUUGUUCGGAAUUACUGGGCGUAAAGGGCGCGUAGGCGGCCUGCUAAGUCGAACGUGAAAUCCCUGGGCUCAACCCAGGAACUGCGUCCGAUACUGGUUGGCUUGAAUCCGGGAGAGGGACGUGGAAUUCCAGGUGUAGCGGUGAAAUGCGUAGAUAUCUGGAGGAACACCGGUGGCGAAGGCGACGUCCUGGACCGGCAUUGACGCUGAGGAGCGAAAGCGUGGGGAGCGAACAGG